GACAACGUGCCAGAGUGGUUAAUGGGUAUGACUCGAAUAUCUCCGAUAUCAUAUGGCUUCGGUCGCACAGGUUCGAAUCCUGUCGUUGUCG